rnacentral:rRNA from 1 species
GAUGAACGCUGGCGGCGUGCCUAAUACAUGCAAGUCGAGCGAACAGACGAGGAGCUUGCUCCUCUGACGUUAGCGGCGGACGGGUGAGUAACACGUGGAUAACCUACCUAUAAGACUGGGAUAACUUCGGGAAACCGGAGCUCAUACCGGAUAAUAUCUUGACCCGCAUGGUUCAAUAGUGAAAGACGGUUUUGCUGUCACUUAUCGAUGGAUCCGCGCCGCAUUAGCUAGUUGGUAAGGUAACGGCUUACCAAGGCAACGAUGCGUAGCCGACCUGAGAGGGUGGUCGCCCACACUGGAACUUAGACACGGACCAGACUCCUACGGGAGGCAGCAGUAGGGAAUCUUCCGCAGUGGUCGAAAGCCUGACGGAGCAACGCCGCGUGAGUGAUGAAGGCCUUCGGAUCGUAAAACUCUGUUAUUAGGGAAGAACAAAUGUGUAAGUAACUAUGCACGUCUUGACGGUACCUAAUCAGAAAGCCACGGCUAACUACGUG